GUAUUAAUUGCGUGUGAUCGCAAAAGAAAAACAUUCUACACUGUAUCGAGUUUGUGUGAAAACGUGAGCCCCCGAAAGGGGACCCACGCGGUGAUGCACAAAGGGGUGAGAUGGAUUUUGUGCGAGAGCGCUCGGGCGUGCACGACCUUUGAAGGUCAGCGACAGCCCUCGCACCUCGGUUGUACGAUAAUGAUCCUUCCGCAGGUUCACCUACGGAAA
rnacentral:misc_RNA from 1 species